rnacentral:rRNA from 1 species
UCACACUCGUGGCGAAUAGCUCAGUAACACGUGGCCAAACUACCUUUCGGAGCGCAAUACCCUCGGGAAACUGAGGCUAAUAGCGCAUACCAUACCACCACUGGAAUGAGUGGUAUGCCAAAUGCUCCGGCGCCGAAGGAUGUGGCUGCGGCCGAUUAGGUAGACGGUGGGGUAACGGCCCACCGUGCCAAUAAUCGGUAUGGGUCAUGAGAGUGAGAACCCAGAGACGGAAUCUGAGACAAGAUUCCGGGCCCUACGGGGCGCAGCAGGCGCGAAACCUUUACACUGCACGACAGUGCGAUAGGGGGAUCCCAAGUGCACAGGCAUAGCGCCUGUGCUUUUCGACACCCUAAGGCGGUGUGAGAAUAAGGGCUGGGCAAGACCGGUGCCAGCCGCCGCGGUAAUACCGGCAGCCCAAGUGAUGGGCGAUCUUAUUGGGCCUAAAGCGUCCGUAGCUGGGCACGCAAGUCCAUUGGGAAAUCCACCUGUCCAACAGGUGGGCGCCCGGUAGAAACUGCGUGGCUUGGGACCGGAAGGCGCGACGGGUACGUNCGGGGUAGGAGUGAAAU